CUCUCUCUCUCUCCCUCUCCGCGUCUUCUCCCUUUCUCCUCCCCUGUGUUUCGACGACAAAACCCCCCAGCCACUGUCACGUCGGCCACCCAGCCACCGGACCGGUCAAGUUUUGACCGGCGUCGCACCCCAAGCCAGCUCCGACCUUCCUCCUACCUCUGCUGCUGCUGUUUUGCCGGAAAACCCCGGUUUUGAUCGGAUUUUUACUUGGUUUUCCAAUCCCUCGAUCUCUCUCCUUCGGCCCCCAAAUCCUUCGAUUGAGGCUUUUACGCUGCAGUCUUGGAGAAAGAUGAUGUGUUGAUAUCUGUAGCAUCAAUCAGUGAAUAAGGGGCAACGAAGUUGG